rnacentral:tRNA from 1 species
GAGGCGGACAAAUGACCUGCUAACUCCAUAUAUCCGAAGAUAACGCUUCGGCCGCCUCCCC